AUUUAUAUAGUUAAAAUAUAACAUAUCAUUUUCAAUGAUAAAUUAAGAAUUCUUUAUAAAUA
rnacentral:tRNA from 1 species